GCCCGGUUGGCGGAAUUGGCAUACGCACUAGGCCCAGGCCCUAGGAGGAUUAUCCUCGUAAGGGUUCAAGUCCCUUACCGGGCA
rnacentral:tRNA from 1 species